CAGUCGAACGCUUUGUGGUUCAACUGAUUUGAAGAGCUUGCUCAGAUAUGACGAUGGACAUUGCAAAGAGUGGCGAACGGGUGAGUAACACGUGGGAAACCUACCUCUUAGCAGGGGAUAACAUUUGGAAACAGAUGCUAAUACCGUAUAACAAUAGCAACCGCAUGGUUGCUACUUAAAAGAUGGUUCUGCUAUCACUAAGAGAUGGUCCCGCGGUGCAUUAGUUAGUUGGUGAGGUAAUGG
rnacentral:rRNA from 1 species